ACAUCUGGGGGUGCUGGCGGUGCCCGGCACAAGAUGUAUGCUCGUGCUCGCUGUCGCCGCAGGGGAAUCCGGUGCGAAUCCGGAACUGUCCCGCAACGGUGUACUUGUGCGUGUUCGCGUCUCCACGUGUCCGCGCACGGGCUUGAGUCCGAGGACCUGCCGACAGUGCGCCCGGCCG
rfam:Streptomyces ambofaciens ATCC 23877, complete genome.